UGAGGGAAUAUUUGGGGUCAAUGGGCGGAAGCCUGAACCAGCCAAGUAGCGUGCAGGACGACGGCCCUAUGGGUUGUAAACUGCUUUCAGACGGGAAUAAUUCGUCGGUCGUGACCGACGUUGCAGGUACCGUCAUAAGAAGGACCGGCUAAUUCCGUGCCAGCAGCCGCGGUAAUACGGAAGGUCCGGGCGUUAUCCGGAUUUAUUGGGUUUAAAGGGAGCGUAGGUGGACUGUCAAGUCAGUUGUGAAUCCGCGGGCUCAACCUGCGGCCUGCAGUUGAAACUGGCGGUCUUGAGUCCGUUCAGGGAUGCUGGAAUUCAUGGUGUAGCGGUG
rnacentral:rRNA from 1 species